UCCUACGGGGGGCAGCAGUAAGGAAUAUUGGUCAAUGGGCGCAAGCCUGAACCAGCCAUGCCGCGUGCAGGAAGACGGCCCUAUGGGUUGUAAACUGCUUUUGUACGGGAAAAAACCUCCGGUCGUGAACCGGAGCUGAUGGUACCGUAAGAAUAAGCAUCGGCUAACUCCGUGCCAGCAGCCGCGGUAAUACGGAGGAUGCAAGCGUUAUCCGGAUUCAUUGGGUUUAAAGGGUGCGCAGGCGGAAUGGUAAGUCAGUGGUGAAAUCCUGCAGCUUAACUGCAGAACUGCCAUUGAUACUGCCGUUCUUGAGUAUAGUUGAAGUGGGCGGAAUGUGUCAUGUAGCGGUGAAAUGCUUAGAUAUGACACAGAACACCGAUCGCGAAGGCAGCUCGCUAAGCUAUAACUGACGCUCAUGCACGAAAGCGUGGGGAUCAAACAGGAUUAGAUACCCCGGUAGUCCA
rnacentral:rRNA from 1 species